ensembl:piRNA 21ur-11847 ncRNA
UUUUGACAGUUGCUAGGUUUU